CGUGUAGGCGGUUUCGCAAGUCGGAUGUGAAAUCCCGUGGCUCAACCAUGGAAGUGCACUCGAAACUGCGUGACUAGAGUUCUGGAGAGGAAGGUGGAAUGCUUGGUGUAGAGGUGAAAUUCGUAGAUAUCAAGCAGAACACCGGUGGCGAAGGCGACCUUCUGGACAGUGACUGACGCUGAGACGCGAAAGCGUGGGAGCAAACA
rnacentral:rRNA from 1 species